rnacentral:misc_RNA from 1 species
CGGAAUUUCAUAUUUGGUUGCUAUGAAAAAUAAAGAAUUAAAGAUUCUAUGAUCUAUGCUUAGAAUUCCUCAGGCAUCACACCUAAGAUUGAAAUGAUCACCCAACACAAGGGGCAAAAAUUGCUAGAAUUUUUAUUGAUUGAAACUUAAUGAUAAAGCAUUACAAUUUGAGCAUUUAUAGACUCAAAAUAACCCUAUACCUUUCAGAUAUUGGACUCUCAAAAAUAAUCUUAUUCCUAUAAAGGGCAUGGAGUCCUGAAGAAGACUAAGAGGAUUAAUGUUAUUCUAAACCAAUAAGUACUUGAAAAUAAAAAGAAAUGAAGACUCCUGAAGACAUCUGGAGAGCCUUUACAGUAAAGCUUGAAAUUGCAAAUACUCCUGCUUCCUUAAAAAAGAAUACUUGAACAUGAUUACUUAAGGCCUAGGCAAGUUGUCAGCUUAGUUUAUCAUCAUUAGAUGUGCCACAGAAGUGCUUGGCCAUUAGAGCCACCUUUGGCACACUUUUUGUGAACAUGUUGCCAUUUUGCUGCAUCAACUGUUCGGCCAGAUUGGCCUUUCCAAAUCUGGG